rnacentral:misc_RNA from 1 species
UUUUGACAUUGAAGAACUUUGAAGGAUUGGACCUUGGCAAGAUGGACCAAGCUAAUGACUCUGGCUUAGCUUCGUAUGUUGCUGGUCAAAUUGAUCGCACUUUGAGCUGGAAGGAUGUUCAGUGGCUCCAGACUAUCACUUCAAUGCCAAUCCUGGUGAAGGGUGUAAUUACGGCUGAGGAUGCUAGGCUUGCAGUUCAGGCUGGAGCAGCUGGUAUCAUUGUGU